GCGGUGGAGGUUGUGAGGCCGCACUGUUACUAUGUCCUGCUCCCUAGGUUACCGCCCCUGAGGGGAUUAGAAGAUUUAAGGAACACAAAGAGUCACAGAGUGUCCUGCAAAAAAAGAGAGGGAUAGAAGCAUGUACAGAAAGACCGAGCAGAGACAUGAGGUUAUGAGAGAAAACAUAACCUGAAGGUGGUGGUGGAAUUUACAGAAAAAGGAAGGACACGGAGAAAAAGCAAACAGCAAGAUAGAGGAUGAAGAGUGGGGGAGAAGAGGAAAAGGAGGAAUGGACAAAAAGAUGAGGAAACAGGAGUUCAGAGAAGUGAAGGAGCCAUUCGAAGAUCACACAGGAAAUCGUCAAGGUUCCCCUUGAAGGACUGUUUGCCUUACAGCAUGUUCUGUUUUCACUUGAGCAGUGCCCCUCAGUCUUUAGUGAGCUGCUCAUCAUACAGGAAUCAUGUAACAGUAUCCUAGGCCGGGGUCCCAUCACUGCAGAUUCCUACUCAGGAGGUGUGCAGUGAGGGCUGAGAUUCUGCAGCUCUGACCGGAACUGGUGUUUAGUGCUCGUCUCUUUUAGUGGGGAUCUGGGUUCUGGCAGAGCCUGUGCCAUUGGCCUGGCUCUGCGUCAGGCCUCACCGAGCCUGUCUAGUCUGCAGAUGCUUAUCUGUGCUGAGCAGGGAGUACUUUGACAAAUACUGUGGCUCCACCCCAGCAAGUUGGACAGGCUGCCUGAUUCUAAGAAACAGGCAGGCAGUGAAACACUGGUUUAGUGAAAGGGUGUUAACUGUGCUCAUAAUUGUGGUGUCAGGCACUAUGUGUGAUGGUUCCCAUGUGUCAAUUUAUUUCAUCCUCGCUGCAGUCUUGUGGAGUGUGCGCUUCGAUCCCCACUGUACAGAUAAGGAAGCUGAGGCUUACGGAGUCUAAGUAACUCAUCUAAAGCUACAUAGCAAGUAAGUAAACUACCCAAAACUGAAAUCCACAGUAGUCUGUUUCCAAAGCCUAAAUUCUUAGCAUUCUGCCUUUCCUCAAUAGAGAUACUACAGAGGUGGUAACAUUCUCUCUCAUUCCAGAUCUGACACUUUCCUUUUGAGUUAGUGUUGUCUUUGCUCUGAUCAAAUGUUUACAACAAUGUAAUAAACCUGGAAAUUUAUCAGGCCAUGCCCAAAGGAGCCUUGAAGAUCUAUAAGGUCUUUUCCAGCUCCAGAUCAGUCUUCUUAAAGUCUAUUUGUCACAAAGGUGCCUCCUCUAGCAUCCUAAAUGCAACAUGAUAGGUGACAAAUGCUCUGAGAGGUAAGGAGGUCCUUGGACUGGAAUCAUGUUGGGAUGGAUGACUAUCCUGAGUAGGUUGGUCGACUACUCAGCAUCUGAUUUAAGCUGGGAAUGACGUUUUCAGGCAUGUAGGCUACAAAUCUUAAGGGCAAAUUUGAUUUGCUACUCACCUCAGACUGCUUCCCAGCAUGGAGGGAAGAUGAUAGGCUUUGGGGCGAAUGACCUAGAAGCAGACCCUGCUUCCCUUCCUGAUCGUGUGAUUCCGUGAACGGUACUUAAGUGCUUUUUUGGGGGAGGGGUGGUUUUUUGAGACAGGGUCUUGCUAUGUAGUUCAGGCUGGCUUUGAACUUACUAUGUAGCACAGACUGGCCUCAAACUCAGGUGGAUCCCCUUGCCUCAGCCUCCCUAGUGCUGGUAGUACUAUGGCUGGCUCAGUACUUAAGCUUUUUUUUUUGGUUUUUCUCCGGUACCGGGAACCGAACUCAGGACCUUGCACUUGCCAGGCAGGCGCUUUGCCGCUGAGCUAAAUCCCCAGCCCCCAAUACUUAAGCUCUUGAACUCCCUCUUCAUGUAAAAUGAGGAUUAAAAUAGCUAACCCGGGUUAUUAGGGUUAGAUAUAAUAUAAAGAAUGGCAUAACACGUGACACUUGGUAAUUGAUAGCUGUGAAUACAAUCUGCAUUUGCUUUAUCAUAGUUGUUAAACAACUAUUCUCCCUUUGUAGCAGCAGAUGGGCUGAUUUCCACGGAAGACCGAAGGAUUCAAUUUUAGGGCAAAACAGAGUUUAUUGAAUUUAGACUGGUCACCGCACAUCCCCGACUAGCAGGUUGGGAAUGUCAGCGAUGGCCUUUGUUUUUAACUUUAAAUACACCUUUGGUUUUUAUGGUAACCAAAGUAUCCUAGGUUAUCUUAUGGUAACCAAGAUUGGACUGUUGUAGCCAUUGACACAGAUGGCCACACACUGUUUUCCUUGUCCCGUGUGACCCGGUCAGGCCCUGGUCAUGAGCCUAACCACAAUGAUAUAUACUUUUGCCCUCUGUUUUGUAUGUCCCACUUUAGAUAACCAUACAUUUCCUUUACGGUUACAAUGUUUAUCUAGGACCAGGGGAGGGGUGAAACAACCCAAACAAGGUCAUAGAUGGUUAUCUAGGCCUGGGUAUUUUCUUCCCUUAAGGAAACAUCCCAGGGCAAAGUUAACUCCUCUGGGAUGUUUCUCAAGACACACUUGAGGCUUGUACUUAAGACUAAGACUACUCUAAUUUAAGAAUGAUAUGCUAAGAGUUGCUGUCCCCUACACCUUAGCCAAAAGUCUUUGCUAAUCAGUUAGAUAUUUUAGUAAAGCUGUUCAAAUUUCAUUACAGUGUCAUUGUAGUCUGACUUUAGAUCCAGAAGUCUGCAUAUUUGCUCAUAGGUUCUUCUUAUAAGACCAAUUUCUAAGACAUACUAGGAAGGACCAGAGGGGUGGUGGUGGUGUGUGUGUUGGAAUAAGGAAACUAGAAUUGUUGAGAAUUUACUUUUAUAAAAAAUCACUUACUGUUGUUGUAAUAUUUGUAUAGUACUUGAAAUAAAAAACAAGUUGACUUUAUUUAUACUUUGGGUUUCUCAUG